rnacentral:rRNA from 1 species
UCCAGCUCGGCGGAUGUGUGGUUUUCCUUUCGGGGACCGGAACACAGGUGCUGCAUGGCUGUCGUCCCUCGUGUCGUGAGAUGUUGGGUUAAGUCCCUCAACCAGCGCAACCCUCCCCCUUAGUUGCCAGCAUUCAUUUGGGCACUCUAAGGGGACUGCCGGUGAUAAGCCAAGAGGAAGGUGGGGAUGACUUCCAGUCCUCAUGGCCCUUACUGGCUGGGCUACACACGUGCUACAAUGGUGGUGACAGUGGGCAGCGAACGAGCGAUCCCUAGCUAAUCUCCAAAAGCCAUCUCACUUCGGAUUGCUCUCUGCAACUCGAGUGCAUGAAGUUGGAAUCACUAGUAAUCGCGGAUCAACACGCCGCGGUGAAUACAUUCCCGGGUCUUGUACACACCGACCGA